AACGAACGCUGGCGGCAGGCUUAACACAUGCAAGUCGAGCGCCCCGCAAGGGGAGCGGCAGACGGGUGAGUAACGCGUGGGAAUCUACCCAUCACUACGGAACAACUCCGGGAAACUGGAGCUAAUACCGUAUACGUCCUUCGGGAGAAAGAUUUAUCGGUGAUGGAUGAGCCCGCGUUGGAUUAGCUAGUUGGUGGGGUAAUGGCCCACCAAGGCGACGAUCCAUAGCUGGUCUGAGAGGAUGAUCAGCCACACUGGGACUGAGACACGGCCCAGACUCCUACGGGAGGCAGCAGUGGGGAAUAUUGGACAAUGGGCGCAAGCCUGAUCCAGCCAUGCCGCGUGAGUGAUGAAGGCCCUAGGGUUGUAAAGCUCUUUCACCGGUGAAGAUAAUGACGGUAACCGGAGGAGAAGCCCCGGCUAACUACGUGCCAGCAGCCGCCGUAAGAC
rnacentral:rRNA from 1 species